rnacentral:rRNA from 1 species
GUGCCAGCCGCCGCGGUAAUACGGAGGAUGCAAGCGUUAUCCGGAAUCACUGGGUUUAAAGGGUGCGCAGGCGGAAUAGCAAGUCAGAGGUGAAAGACUACAGCUCAACUGUGGAAUUGCCUUUGAUACUGUUAUUCUUGAGUGUAGUUGAAGUGGGCGGAAUAUAGCAUGUAGCGGUGAAAUGCAUAGAUAUGCUAUAGAACACCAAUUGCGAAGGCAGCUCGCUAAACUAUAACUGACGCUGAGGCACGAAAGCGUGGGGAGCGAACAGGAUUAGAUACCCCUGUAGUCC